rnacentral:rRNA from 1 species
UACGGAGGGUGCAAGCGUUGUCCGGAUUUAUUGGGCUUAAAGGGCGCGUAGGCGGCCCGUUAAGUCAGUGGUGAAAGCCUCCAGCUCAACUGGAGAACUGCCAUUGAUACUGACGGGCUUGAGUACAGACGAGGUUGGCGGAAUUGAUUGUGUAGCGGUGAAAUGCAUAGAUACAAUCAAGAACUCCGAUUGCGUAGGCAGCGAACUAGGCUGUAACUGACGCUGAGGCACGAAAGCGUGGGGAGCGAACAGG